AACAGGAUUAGAUACCCUGGUAGUCCACGCCGUAAACGAUGUCGACUUGGAGGUUGUUCCCUUGAGGAGUGGCUUCCGGAGCUAACGCGUUAAGUCGACCGCCUGGGGAGUACGGCCGCAAGGUUAAAACUCAAAUGAAUUGACGGGGGCCUGCACAAGCGGUGGAGCAUGUGGUUUAAUUCGAUGCAACGCGAAGAACCUUACCUACUCUUGACAUCCACGGAACUUAGCAGAGAUGCUUUGGUGCCUUCGGGAACUGUGAGACAGGUGCUGCAUGGCUGUCGUCAGCUCGUGUUGUGAAAUGUUGGGUUAAGUCCCGCAACGAGCGCAACCCUUAUCCUUUGUUGCCAGCGGUCCGGCCGGGAACUCAAAGGAGACUGCCAGUGAUAAACUGGAGGAAGGUGGGGAUGACGUCAAGUCAUCAUGGCCCUUACGGCCUGGGCUACACACGUGCUACAAUGGUCGGUACAAAGGGUUGCCAAGCCGCGAGGUGGAGCUAAUCCCAUAAAACCGAUCGUAGUCCGGAUCGCAGUCUGCAACUCGACUGCGUGAAGUCGGAAUCGCUAGUAAUCGCGAAUCAGAAUGUCGCGGUGAAUACGUUCCCGGGCCUUGUACACACCGCCCGUCACACCAUGGGAAUUUGUUGCACCAGAAGUAGGUAGUCUAACCGCAAGGAGGACGCUUACCACGGUGUGGCCGAUGACUGGGGUGAA
rnacentral:rRNA from 1 species